rnacentral:lncRNA from 1 species
GGAGAUUCACGCUGGUUAAGAGAUUUUACCGUUUUUGAUUGACCAUUUAAUUGGGACAGAAUCAAAUAUUAAUUGGGAGCCUUAAAAAUAGGCACUAUUUUAGGCUACAAAAUCAGAUUGAUUUGGUUGGGAGCCUUAAAAACAGGCGCCAUUUUAGGCUACAAAAUCAGAUUGAUUUCGUUUGGUAUAUUUUUGGUAACGAAAACAUG